AAGAUUGUGACAGAGAGGAAAUGUGGUUGCUUUGAAGCCAAUAUACGGGGGUUCGACUCCCCCUGAUCUUG